UCCGUCAGUUGCUGGUUGUCUCAUAACGCAGCAACCAUCGCCACACCACAUGCGCACUACGCACAAUCAAAACAACAUUGUGCUGUCUCCUAUCGACGCGCAACCGUUCCCGCCCUGCCAGAGUCUGCCCUUUGCUGCUGGUUGGUACUGUAUCGCGCCGGAACCUUGACCUUGAGAGAGCAAGACCAGCAAAACGGUGGAGGGUGAGACCGGCAAACGAAUCAAACACCGGCACCAGAUGGAAAAUAGGGGUUUCGGUGUCUUUGCACAACAUCCUGCCAGCAAACCUCGACAAAAACGGGUCCAAAACGAUUUUUUAUUGCAAAAGGAUUGCAAAUGGAAUCGAUACUUUUAACACCACUAGGUGCUAUCUUCACACAGCACAAAGAACUUCAAUGCGAUACAGGAAAGGUCCUUCAAACAUGCUGCCAAGGGACAUGAACGAUGAGCGCAACAUAACUCUGCAUAGUUGCAUCACAGAAGCUUGUUCCUUGAUUUUCAGUUGGAAGCACCAAAAUUGCAAACAAUCCUAGAUCCCGUAACUAGCCGGGUUUUUUUCCUUACAACCCGCUCGAACGCACACCAACAUAGCAACCGGUGUAGGCUCUCGUACGCACGACGCACGUACACCUCAAAAAGAUCCUGGAGCGGCAGGAAAUAACCGCCCGUUUAAGGGCAGCGAGGAGAGGAAAGAAGAAGAAAAAAAAACACAAGGUAAGGGAAAGCGAGAAAAUCGUUGGCACACGAGAAGAAUAAAAAGAAGGGCAGGGGACAGAGGCUUACCUCGGAAUUGCGGCAGAUGUUCAUCGGGGCCUCGUUGAAUGCUCCUGCAAACGGCGGUGCGCAAAGAAAAGCGAAAGGAAACGAUAACAAUGCAGUAGGCUCUGGGCCGGGGCACACUAUUACACCAGCCCUUGCAUUUGGCUGUGGCUAAAAGGUUUAGAUGUUCUUCUCGCCGGAUUCGUACCAUGCGUAUUGGCUCAUUUUGUUCCAACAGCACUGGUGACGAUAGGUGACCACAUAUUCAAAUUACAAAUGUUAUACAAAAAAUAAAACUACAAACUACACUUUUUGUUAGCUUUCGCUUGGACAAAUUUUCAAGCAGGCCAACAUUCUAGCA